AACAAAAUCAAAGAAAACCUGCAAUGGUCUGACCCGGGAGCCUGCUCAAAACGGCAGCGACCGGUUUACGUGCAAGAAAACUAAAGGAAUGUUGUGCUUCAGAGCGAGGUCGGGACAAAUGUGGAUGCCAAAAGGGAGAGAAAAUAGCGCAAAAGACGCUUUCAUCAAUUUCUCCCUAAAUUACUGCAGCGGAUAUAGGUGAACUUGGUGUGGAAACAGAUGCAGCCUCUCGGCUGGAGAACACGGAAAAUAGCUGUAAAACUACAAAAUGGACAAACCACUAUUGAUUAAUUAAUUAAUUAGUAGCUGCUAAUGAAGGAUCCAACGUGUCCUGGGCCCGACAUAGCUCAGAGCUCUCACAAACACAUACGUUGCGUGCAUCAGCACAGAAU